rnacentral:rRNA from 1 species
AUUGAACGCUGGCGGUAGGCCUAACACAUGCAAGUCGAACGCGAAAGUCCUUCGGGAUGAGUAGAGUGGCGGACGGGUGAGUAACGCGUAGGAAUCUAUCCUGUAGUGGGGGAUAACGUUUCGAAAGGAACGCUAAUACCGCAUACGCCCCAAGGGGGAAAGCGGGGGAUCUUCGGACCUCGUGCUAUAGGAGGAGCCUGCGUCGGAUUAGCUAGUUGGUGAGGUAAAGGCUCACCAAGGCGACGAUCCGUAGCUGGUCUGAGAGGAUGAUCAGCCACACCGGAACUGAGACACGGGCCGGACUCCUACGGAAGGCAGCAGUGGGGAAUAUUGCGCAAUGGGCGAAAGCCUGACGCAGCCAUACCGCGUGUGUGAAGAAGGCCUUCGGGUUGUAAAGCACUUUCAGUGGGGAGGAAAAGCUGGUGGCUAAUAUCCAUCGGCCGUGACGCUACCCACAGAAGAAGCACCGGCUAAUUCCGUGCCAGCCGCCGCCGUAAUAC